AUUGACUAAGGUUUCCAGAGGAAGGCUCGUCCGCUCUGGGUUAGUCGGGUCCUAAGCUGAGGCCGACAGGCGUAGGCGAUGGAUAACAGGUUGAUAUUCCUGUACCACCUAUAAUCGUUUUAAUCGAUGGGGGGACGCAGUAGGAUAGGCGAAGCGUGCGAUUGGAUUGCACGUCUAAGCAGUAAGGCUGAGUAUUAGGCAAAUCCGGUACUCGUUAAGGCUGAGCUGUGAUGGGGAGAAGACAUUGUGUCUUCGAGUCGUUGAUUUCACACUGCCGAGAAAAGCCUCUAGAUAGAAAAUAGGUGCCCGUACCGCAAACCGACACAGGUAGUCAAGAUGAGAAUUCUAAGGUGAGCGAGCGAACUCUCGUUAAGGAACUCGGCAAAAUGACCCCGUAACUUCGGGAGAAGGGGUGCUCUUUAGGGUUAACGCCCAGAAGAGCCGCAGUGAAUAGGCCCAAGCGACUGUUUAUCAAAAACACAGGUCUCUGCUAAACCGUAAGGUGAUGUAUAGGGGCUGACGCCUGCCCGGUGCUGGAAGGUUAAGAGGAGUGGUUAGCUUCUGCGAAGCUACGAAUCGAAGCCCCAGUAAACGGCGGCCGUAACUAUAACGGUCCUAAGGUAGCGAAAUUCCUUGUCGGGUAAGUUCCGACCCGCACGAAAGGCGUAACGAUUUGGGCACUGUCUCAACGAGAGACUCGGUGAAAUCAUAGUACCUGUGAAGAUGCAGGUUACCCGCGACAGGACGGAAAGACCCCGUGGAGCUUUACUGUAGCCUGAUAUUGAAAUUCGGCACAG
rnacentral:rRNA from 1 species